rnacentral:rRNA from 1 species
CAAUAGCGUAUAUUAAAGUUGUUGCGGUAAAAAAGCUCGUAGUUGGAUUUCUACCGAAGAUAGCCGGUCGGGUCUUCGACCUUGUAUCUGGUUUUGUCUUUGGUAUCCCCAUAGGGAACGUUUCUGCGCUUUAUUGCGUGGUGCGGUAUCUAUGACUUUUACUUUGAGGAAAUUAGAGUGUUCACGGCAGGCAAACGCCUUGAAUAUAUUAGCAUGGAAUAAUAACAUAGGAUCUUCGUCCUAUUUUGUUGGUUUCUAGGGCUAAGAUAAUGAUUAAUAGGGAUAAUUGGGGGCAUCUGUAUCAACGCGUCAGAGGUGGAAUUCUUGGAUUGCGUUGCGACAAACUACUGCGAAAGCAUUUGCCAAGGAUGUUUUCAUUGA